GGGCUUGUAGCUCAGCCUGGACAGAGCGUUCGACUGAUAAUCGAAAGGUUCCUGGGUUCGAAUCCCAGCAGGCCCA
rnacentral:tRNA from 1 species